UCUCCUCCAGCUGUUAGUAGCGCAGUCCUAAUGAAAGCCUCAGAAAAUGAUGCUGCAUGUAUACAAAGGUAGACAAGAAUAUAUGGUAUGGAUAUUGAAUUGAUAUUUUGGAAUUACCUUGAUCAUUUUUAGUCAUAAAAAUAAACCUCAGUCCGUCCCCCAAAGUGAAUGAAAACAGUCAUACAAACAUAUGACUGUUCUUCAGAACUGAAGAAGCCUCUUGGAUGAGAGGUGAAACGUCUUCAAGGAACUUUCUUAAAUUCCAGUGGAUUGAUUUAAACUACUUUGGAUAACCAUGACCUGGAUGAAUGAGAACCUACACAGACAGUCAUACAAACCAUACACUACUGGCAUAAAGCUUGGGGUCACUGAGAAAUGUCCUUAUUUUUCAAAGAAAAGCAGUUGUUUUUCAGUGAAGAUAGCAUUAAAUGAAUGAUAAAUCCAGUGCAGACAUUGUUAAUGUGGCAAAUGACUGUUCUAUCUGGAAACGGCUGAUUUUUAAUGGAAUAUCUCCAUAGGGGUACAGAGGAACAUUUCCAGCAACCAUCACUCCUGUGUUCUAAUGCUACAUUGUGUUAGCUAAUGGUGCUGGAAGGCUCAUUGAUGAUUAGAAAACCCUUGUGCAGUUAUGUUGGCACAUGGAUAAAAGUGUGAGUUUUCAUGGAAAACAUGGAAUUUCCUGAGUGAUCCCAAACUUUGAACAGCAGUGUCUGUGCACAGGUUUUAAGGGUAUUUGAGAGAUUGGAGGUGGAGCUGAAGCAAUGUCCAAGCAUGAGCCAGUUUACAAAGUGGUCCAGGGUUUUCACGAGGUACAGUGAGGAAGAGGGGCUUUGACAUGGGUUUAUCACUGAUUAUUAAAUAUUUGUUUAUUCAUCUUAUUUAUUUUCUAUUUUGUUUGUAUAUAUGUACAUAAAUAACGAUGGAAGUGAGCGAUGGCUGAGAUGGAGAAGGAGUUGUUCAUCCUACUCCUUUUUGGAUAUGUUCAGUUAUUAUUUUUUGCAUUGUUUUGUUUAUGUGUUUUGCUGUUGUUUUGAAUAUGUUCAUUUUCAUCUGCUUCCAACCCUUUAAUUGGACAGUAACCCCAUCAGAGGGCUUCAUGUGCACUCUUGGAACUGGAGUUACAUCCAGUACUUUCCAGGGUAUAAGCCGUCAACGAAAGACCUCCAGUUUCUCCUAUCUUGUGCCUCUCUCUCAACUUGAUUCCAGGUGGUGCCCAUUCUUUAAAGUCUGCCUAAAGGUCUCGGCGCCAGCUGUUUCUUGGCCUGCCUCUCUUCCUCUUCCCCUGUGGGUUCCACGUUAGUGCCUGUCUGCUGGUACUCGACGAUGGCUUCCUUAGAAUUCGAUUUGGCUUUGUGGAAAGAAGAAAGAGUUGAACUGGUUCCUCUCAGUGAACAUGAAGGAUGGACACGUGGAAAGACAGCAGAUGGAUUUAAUGAAUGUCAUCCAAGGAGGAUUCCACUUGGCUUUUCUACGGUGGUGAAGGUGGUUGAAAAGUUUAAAGAAUAGGCCAGUGUCGUGGACAAACCCUGUUCUGGACGACCAAAUGUAUCAGCCUAAACUAAAGAACUGGUCAAGGCUAAAAUUCAUGCUAGCUCCCACUCCCUUAACCCUAACUAUCUUUCCAUAUGUCCAUCCUUCACGUUCACUGAGAAGUACCAGUUCAGCUCUUUCUUCUUUCAACAAAACCAUAUUUAAUCCGUGGAGGCAAAAAGAACCUAUCAGAUUUCCUAUGAGUCUAGACUUUAGGGUCACCAUGUAGAAUCAAAAGUAAAGAUGUGUUUGGUCACAUGCUGGUUUUCGGAUGCUAUAAAUAGAGGCUCCCAGCAGAAAUCACAGCUGUAUUCUUUCACUCUGUCCUCAGCAAGCCAAGAAGUGACUGUUCUCACUCUUUCCAUGUUCUCAGUUGUUAUUUUACAGUAGUUCCUACAACUAAAUAAAUGAUCCAUCCUUAAAUAUUGGUAUAUGAGAUAAUGACAUAAUGAGGUAAUUGUAAAAUAAAUGAUAUAGUUGCUUCACUUGGGUGUCCUGUGAUCUUAUCAGUUUUAUGGUCUGCUUUGUGAAAAUAAACUCAGUUGUAAGCUC